GAUGAACGCUAGCUACAGGCUUAACACAUGCAAGUCGAGGGGAAACGACAUCGAAAGCUUGCUUUUGAUGGGCGUCGACCGGCGCACGGGUGAGUAACGCGUAUCCCACCUGCCCACCACUUGGGGAUAACCUUGCGAAAGUAAGACUAAUACCCACUGAUAUCUCUAGAAGACAUCUGAAAGAGAUUAAAGAUUUAUCGGUGAUGGAUGGGGAUGCGUCUGAUUAGCUUGUUGGCGGGGUAACGGCCCACCAAGGCAACGAUCAGUAUGGGUGCUGAGAGGAAGGUCCCCCACAUGGGAACUGAGACACGGUCCAAACUCCUACGGGAGGCAGCAGUGAGGAAUAUUGGUCAAUGGACGAGAGUCUGAACCAGCCAAGUAGCGUGCAGGAAGACGGCCCUAUGGGUUGUAAACUGCUUUUAUAAGGGAAUAAAGUGAGUCUCGUGAGACUUUUUGCAUGUACCUUAUGAAUAAGGACCGGCUAAUUCCGUG
rnacentral:rRNA from 1 species